rnacentral:misc_RNA from 1 species
UUUUUUUUACUCUAAAAAUACUUUAUUUCAAUCAUAUAUAAUGUACAAAAAUUAUCCCUUGGUUGCAAUAUAUUCUCUACAAUUUACAAAAGUCGAUCAUCUCUGUCCUAAAUUAGCUCAGAUUAAUGAUCUUUCUUCUCUUCUCAACGGACUUAGCUGUGCUCAUACAUGCAAAUCUUCAAAUUGUUUACAUGCCAAGACUCUACCUCAGUUGUUAGGACCCCAGCAACUCAGGUACAUGACUGUCCUCAAGGACUCUUCUGUCUGCCUGGUUUCCCUCACUUUAUCAGAUACUACGGCGGCAGAUGAAGAGGAAAUCUUCUUGGCUUGAGAUAUUGUCCUCAGGUUAUUCUUGCCUUGUUGGUGCAGUGACUUUAUGGUGUAGUUCCAGCGGCAAAACCCUUGGUCCUUCAAUGCCUCCACAGCUCCAAUGCUGGCUGCAACCAUCCAAGCUUUCACUGCAGAACCCAUCCUUCAAUUCCCUUCCUUUUUCUAGUAAAAUAUCACAAAUUUGAGAUUCACAAUUCACGAAUCAGUGUAGAUAAUAGUUUUUAGUUUG